UGCGUAGGCGGUUUGUUAAGUCAGAUGUGAAAGCCCCGGGCUCAACCUGGGAACUGCAUUUGAUACUGGCAGGCUAGAGUACGGUAGAGGGUGGUGGAAUUCCCGGUGUAGCGGUGAAAUGCGUAGAGAUCGGGAGGAACAUCCGUGGCGAAGGCGGCCACCUGGACCAGUACUGACGCUGAGGCACGAAAGCGUGGGGAGCAAACA
rnacentral:rRNA from 1 species